rnacentral:rRNA from 1 species
GUCUGUUUGAAAAUAUAAAAAGUCUAGUCUGCCCACUGAUAAUUUUUAAAGGGCCGCGGUAAUUUGACCGUGCAAAGGUAGCAUAAUCGUUAGUUCCUUAAUUGGGAUCUUGUAUGAAUGGCUGAACAAAAGAAUAGCUGUCUCUAUAUUUUUUCUGAAUUUGACUUUCAAGUGAAAAGGCUUGGAUACUUUAAGAAGACGAUAAGACCCUGUAAAGCUUAAUGAGUUUAAUUAUUUAGUUAAGUUAAUGUAAGAAUAAAAAUUUUAUAAAAAGAACUUAUUUUGUUGGGGCGACAAUGAUAAAAUGAUUCUAACUGUAAGUGAAAAGGACAAAGUUUGAUGAGUUAAAUACGUAAAUGAUCCUUAAAUUUAAGAUUAAAAGUUUAAGUUACUUCAGGGAUAACAGCGUUAUUUUUUUUUGAGAGUUCAUAUCGAAAGAAAAGUUUGCGACCUCGAUGUUGAAUUAAAAUUUCUAUAUAAUUGCAGAAGUUAUAAUAGAGGGUCUGUUCGACCUUUAAAUUUUUACAUGAUUUGAGUUCAGACCGGCGUGAG